UUGUGAUUUGUAUAAAUCUGUGCUGUUAAGUUUUCUUGUAAACUAAUACCUUCUAACUUAUCUUUGAUAGUUUUUAAGUAAUUCAUAAAGGUAGGAGGAUAACGUUUCUUUUGACGUUUAGUGUCUACGAUCAUCACGG